rnacentral:rRNA from 1 species
AGAGUUUGAUCCUGGCUCAGGAUGAACGCUAGCGACAGGCUUAACACAUGCAAGUCGAGGGGCAGCAUGAUAAGUAGCAAUACUUAUUGAUGGCGACCGGCGCACGGGUGAGUAACGCGUAUGCAACUUACCUAUCAGAGGGGGAUAGCCCGGCGAAAGUCGGAUUAAUACUCCAUAAAACAGGGGUUCCGCAUGGGACUAUUUGUUAAAGAUUCAUCGCUGAUAGAUAGGCAUGCGUUCCAUUAGGCAGUUGGCGGGUAACGGCCACAACGACGAUGGAUAGGGGUUCUGAGAGGAAGGUCCCCACAUUGGUACUGAGACACGGACCAACUCCUACGGGAGGCA